UUUAUGCUCAAAUUCACCCUCUUUCUUUUACAAUCUCAACUCUCAGCUCUCUUCUUCAAUUCUACCCCUCCAAACCCCUAGGGAGAGGAUUUUUGAGGUAGUGCUUCACAUAGUGUAUUUUAAAACAGGGAUCGAUGGAAAUUUUGCAUGUUUGUUAUUCAUUCAUUAGAAAGUUGAAAAAAUCAUUAAUUAGGUUAUUCACCAUUUUGAUUCUGUUAAAUCUUGGCCAUCCAUCAGUAUGAAUAGACUGGAAGUUAGUUUGGAAAGAAAUUUCAAAUUUAAGUGUUUGAACUUUGAAGGAAUUUCAUAUGGUAUUGAAUUUUAUGCAUUGAUGUUAACGUUUCAGAAGGUAACAAUCGGUGGUUGGUUCAGGUGAUAUAUGCCUGAUUUCUUUCAAUAUUGAAUCUCAAAUUGAGACUUAUUCUCCAAUGAAAAAGAUAGUCCCAUCACAUAGAAGUUUUUACUUUGAAUAAGGUUAAACGUCUCCUUUGUAACAUACUUAAGGGCUGUUUGUUUGCUUGGAAAUAGGGGAGAG
rnacentral:lncRNA from 1 species